rnacentral:rRNA from 1 species
UACGUAGGGACCAAGCGUUGUUCGGAUUUACUGGGCGUAAAGGGCGCGUAGGCGGCGUGGUAAGUCAGUUGUGAAAUCUCCGAGCUUAACUCGGAACGGCCAACUGAUACUGCUGUGCUAGAGUGCAGAAGGGGCAAUCAGAAUUCUUGGUGUAGCGGUGAAAUGCGUAGAUAUCGGGAGGAAUACCAGCGGCGAAGGCGGCCUUCUGGACUAUAACUGACGCUGAGGCGCGAAAGCUAGGGUAGCAAACGGG